AGAAAAUGAACAUUUAUUUUAGUAGAUCUAGUCAACUGUAUAUUGACAGAAGCUUGGCCCUUCAGGGUGCCCUCUCAUCCAACCUUAAAUGGAUAUUCACAGAGAAAAAGGGCUAUUGACAUAAGGAUCCAGAAAGCAAAAUUUUCUCUUUUUUUUUUCUCAGAGAGAGAGUCUCGCUCUGUCGCUCAGGCUAUAGUACAGUGGCAUGACCAUAGCUCACUGCAUCCCUGAACUCUUGGGCUCAAGUGAUCCUCCCACCUCAGCCUCCACAUGCCCCACUCCUAGCUAUUUUUUUUAUUUUUCUAGAAACCAGAUCUCAUCAUCUUGCCCAGGCUGUUCUCGAACUCAAGAGAUCUUCCCGCCGCAGCCUCCCAAAGUGCUGGGAUUACAGGUGUGAGCCACUAUGCCUGGCCUAAAAUUUUUUCUCUUUAACUCUGGGCACACUGGUUCCAAAAUGCAACAUUCUCUCCAGUUGAUUAUUGUCCUGGCCAUGAAAUUCCAAAGGACUAUGACCUGAGAUCGAGCUGGGGGUGGAAGCAGAUGCUUUUAGCUAGGGAUGAAUGUUGCUGUCUUCAUACUUGAAUUCUGGAAGAUCACUCUACUGCUAGCUCUUUUAUUCUCAUUGUUCUUGCAUAAGCUGAAUUUUUGUGCCUCCAAGGUAUUCUCCCAAAUGAGGAGGAGGCUAUGUUUCUAUAUCCUUUUGUGUUUGAAGGACAGUCUCAAACUCAAAAUGAGAAUAUAGAGAUCACACAAGCCAGACACAGAAAGACAAAUACUGCAUGAUCUCACUCAUAUGUGGAACUCAGGAUCUCUAGCUGGUAGGGUUGAAGCUCAGAUUGAGAAUCCGGUUUCUAAGACUCCUCUUCUGUGCUAGUUCUGAUGCAUUAGACUCUCAGAGGUUCCAAAGUUCCAAAUAUCUCCAUGUUUAUAGUUUAGGCUCUGGCACUCUCUGUGUCAGAUGCUGCGCUUGGCAUUGUGGAUAUUAUUCCUGCUCUUCUGAACCUUACAAGCUGGUGGAACAGGUAGAUAUUAAUAUAUACUUGCUUUGAAGAAAAACACAGCCUGUUUUGAGAGUUGGACCUGAGCUACUUUGGAUCGUCCUUGGUGACUGGUGUUUAAGUUGAAACAUGAAAGGUAAAUAGGAGUUUGUUAGGCAAGGAAGGAGGUUAUGAGCAUUCACAGGUCUCAAGGCAGAAAGCAGUAUGGUGUUAGAACUGGAAGGGAAACACUUU
rnacentral:lncRNA from 10 species